ACCGUUAGACUAGCCAUGCACGUCUAAGUACAAACUAAAUGAUGGUGAAACUGCAAAUGGCUCAUUACAACGGUUAUGAUGUACCCGGGAGUUCCGAUGGAUAUUUCCAGUAACACUAGAACUAAUACAUGUCCCUGCGUUUAUUAGUUUCGCACAGUCCGUCGCUGAGUCAUGGUAAACAGUUGAUCGACUCGACGUCCCGGAACAGUUUCCGCCCCAUCAGCUUCGAUGGUUGGGUAUUGGCCUACCAUUGCAACAACGGGUAACGAGGAAUUAGGGUUUGAUUUCGGAGAGGGAGCCUGAGAAACGGCUACCACAUCUACGGAUGGCAGCAGGCGCGCAAAUUACCCAAUGCAGACACUGUGAGGUAGUGACGAGAAAUAAUAAAGCGGGACUUCUGUUUCGCUAUUAUAAUGAGGAAUAACCAAAGGUCAUUCCGAUUAGCAACUGAUGGGAAAGUCUGGUGCCAGCAGCCGCGGUAAUACCAGCGUCAGUAGCAU
rnacentral:rRNA from 1 species